rnacentral:lncRNA from 1 species
GAAUAACGAGUGCAGAAAAUGAAUAAAUAAUACAAUAGUGUCCCCAUUUGACCGCUAGAUUAAUGAAUGAUAUUGUUCUGUUGAAUUGUAUUAGUGGAUUAGGGAGUGGUUUGAGCUUUCCUUCAUACGUGUUGUGAGUUUUUUUUUUUUUACAGUUCCUUGCAAGUUGUGCAAGAGAAGAGUAGUAAGAAAACGAGUAUGUAAAGAUUUAAGGUAUAUGAGAUUGAUUGAUAGACACAGAAGUAUCAAAGGUGUGGCCAAAGGUGUAUCGUGAGCCGUAAGUGUGUAAGCUCUUAAGAUUCGGAUCCGGCGCCAACAUGAUAGGUGACCUUCUUUGAAGUAGAUGUUGGGCAUUGGUAAUGAAUGGCUUGGAUCAGUGUAGGUC